GGAGCUCAGUGGUAGAGCACAUGCUUAACAUGCAAGAGGCCCUGGGUUCAACCCCCAGUUCCUCCU
rnacentral:tRNA from 1 species